UACAGAGGUCUCAAGCGUUGUUCGGAUUCAUUGGGCGUAAAGGGUGCGUAGGUGGCGAGGCAAGUCAGAUGUGAAAUCCCGGGGCUCAACCCCGGAACUGCAUUUGAAACUGCCUUGCUCGAGUACUGGAGAGGAGACUGGAAUUUACGGUGUAGCAGUGAAAUGCGUAGAUAUCGUAAGGAAGACCAGUGGCGAAGGCGAGUCUCUGGACAGUUACUGACACUGAGGCACGAAAGCGUGGGGAGCAAACAGG
rnacentral:rRNA from 1 species